UGCGCCCGCCAGUAUUCUGGCGGGCAUGCCUGUCCGAGCGUCAUUUCAACCCUCAAGCCCCCGGGCUUGGUGUUGGAGAUCGGCGAGCCCCCCGGGGCGCGCCGUCUCCCAAAUAUAGUGGCGGUCCCGCUGUAGCUUCCUCUGCGUAGUAGCACACCUCGCACUGGGAAACAGCGUGGCCACGCCGUAAAACCCCCCACUUCUGAAAGGUUGACCUCGGAUCGGGUAGGAAUACCCGCUGAACUUAAGCAUAUCAAUAAGCGGAGGAAAAGAAACCAACAGGGAUUGCCCUAGUAACGGCGAGUGAAGCGGCAACAGCUCAAAUUUGAAAUCUGGCCUUCGGGUCCGAGUUGUAAUUUGUAGAGGAUGCUUUUGGUGAGGUACCUUCCGAGUUCCCUGGAACGGGACGCCAUAGAGGGUGAGAGCCCCGUCUGGUUGGAUACCGAUCCUCUGUAAAGCUCCUUCGACGAGUCGAGUAGUUUGGGAAUGCUGCUCUAAAUGGGAGGUAUAUGUCUUCUAAAGCUAAAUAUUGGCCAGAGACCGAUAGCGCACAAGUAGAGUGAUCGAAAGAUGAAAAGCACUUUGAAAAGAGAGUUAAAAAGUACGUGAAAUUGUUGAAAGGGAAGCGCUCAUGACCAGACUUGGGCUUGGUUGAUCAUCCAGGGUUCUCCCUGGUGCACUCUUCCAGCCCAGGCCAGCAUCAGUUCGCUGUGGGGGAUAAAGGCUUCGGGAAUGUGGCUCCUCCGGGAGUGUUAUAGCCCGCUGCG
rnacentral:rRNA from 1 species